ACGCCUGCAGCAGGGGUCAUUGUUGUGCCGUCUUGCUGCGAGGGCACCUGUCUGUCACUGCUGGUGAGCACUGCCCACUGGUGCUCACAGCUCCCGUGUGACAGAGAGCUUGUCUCUCACUAAUGCUGCUCAGGAUGACAGCAGGGCUCCCACUGAAGGGCAGAUGCCUGCUGAAGGGCACCUGGGUGCUGGUGCAGUCACACCUAAGUGGGGAAGCAGCCUGGCCCCGUGGCUGGGAAAGUGCAGUCUGCAGCUCAGGAGUUCCACUCUCCUUCCCUAUCCAGAACGAGCUCCGAGCUCAGAGUUUACCAGGAGCCACAGUUUAUCGGGAGGUCCAGCGUAAACAGGACUCAUCUUCAGCGGAGGUGGCUUUGGGAUUCACACCGCAGGGUGGUGGGAACUUGCUCUCCCUGCCGCCUGCUCACCUGGUCGGGGGUCAGGUGAUGGUGAGUGGCCACAUGCAUCACAGCCCACACUCGGAGCAGUGCUGCUGUCCAGCAUGGUGGCUCCUGCUGUGUCGUAGGGAAGUCCCCUCCAGCACCAGCGCGGGCAGGGCAGAGGCAGCACUGCCCCGGCUCUCCAGGCAAGGUGGAGUGUGUCCUCUAGCGGUCAGGGUCUCUGAAGUAACUGGAAGCUUGGUGCAGGCACAGCCCUCACCCAGAGCCUGUUUGCUCGGACCUAGAUCUGGCCAGCCAGGAAAAGGAGCGGCUUGAGGAGAAGCAGAGAGAAGCCCGCAGGGAGCGUGCCAAAGAGGAGGCCGAGUGGCGGACCAGGUGGUUUUACCCAGGUGACAACCCCUACACUGGGACUCCUGACUGGUUAUACGCAGGGGAUUACUUUGAGCGGAAUUUUUCUGACUGCCCUGAUAUCUACUGAGGGCUGGAGGCCAGCCUGGAAGCUGGCAGGGCUGGACCCGUGAGCGGCCCCGCGCCCGCCCCAGCAGAGCCCAGCCCUUCUACCCAAGGUCACGGGGGCGGCGCCGCCCCGUCCAGCUGUGACUCCAGUUAACCUCCCAUUGUCCGGCACCUCCCCACUGCUGCAGCCCCUCCCUGAGGCCGGCCGAGAUCUGUGUCCACUGAGCUGCAGAAGGAAAACCCUGCCGGGCCUCCCGUGGGAAGCGAGUGGGGCCGGCUGAGCUCUCAGUGCUCGCAGUUAGCCAGUCUGUGACUGGAAGCAGCAGCAGGGGGCCGCGUGCUCCUCACAGGCCGUGGCCCGGUUCUGAGUGCUUCCAACCCAGAUCCAGCAGGGAGGAAGGCAGAUCUCGAAAAGGACCAGCCGGCCAGGGCGCGCUUCCAGAUCACGGCAGUGAGAAGAGGCCUCCAGAGCACCCACGCGAAGAAAGUGGAAAGCAGUCAGGUUCUGUGUUUUCUACCAAUCUUGAGUAAUGUAAAGAUUACUUUUAAAAUAUUUAAGUUAAAACUACUCGGAUGGUAUUUUGCCUAAGGGCAGGAAACAUUCAUCGCAGCGUGUACUGUCCACACAAGUUCUUGGGACAAGCCAGGUGGCAGAAACGUGUGACGUGGACGAGACACGCCUACGGCUGCUCCCCGCUCACAGGAGUCCUGCCUCUGGCCACAGCGCUCGUGUUGUCCCAUGCUUUGCUUUCCCGUGAACCACAGCCACGUUCUCAGCGGUCCUUUCUCCACCCGCCUCGCCUGUGUGCAGUCUCGUGUUUGUUUUCCGGGCAUGCAUGUUCCACUGUAAGUGAGCCAUGGAGUGGUGCGGCGUGGGAGGUCUCAGGCAGCAUCUGCUUAUCUGGUGUCAAUUAAAGUUGUUUAACCACAAAUAGGUGUGUGUCCCUCUCAGCAGUCCUCUGUCCCGUGACAGACGUCAUGUAGAAACCUCACACUGCAGAUCACAGUAGAGCUCUUUGCAUCAAAGACUAUCUGCUGUGUGCACACACACGCACACCUGUGCCGUGUGUGAGCGUGGGUCACUAAAUCAAGUGCUUCUGAGCGAGCGCCGUCGCUGUGCGUGUGUCCAGGCUUCAGAGCCACCUUUGGAAUUAAAACACGUUUCAAAGCCA